UGGGUAAUCUUGUGAAACUUCAUCGUGUUGGGGAUAGAGCAUUGCAAUUAUUGCUCUUCAACGAGGAAUCCCUAGUAAGCACAAGUCAUCAGCUUGUGCUGAUUACGUCCCUGCCCUUUGUACACACCGCCCGUCGCUACUACCGAUUGAAUGGCUUAGUGAGACCCUCGGAUUGACGUUCAUCGGCUGUAAAAGGCUCUUGUUUGUUGAAAAGUUGGUCAAACUUGGUCAUUUAGAGGAAGUAAAAGUCGUAACAAGGUUUCCGUAGGUGAACCUGCGGAAGGAUCAUU
rnacentral:rRNA from 1 species